AACUUUCAGCAACGGAUCACUUGGCUCUCGCAUCGAUGAAGAACGCAGCGAAAUGUCAUAAGUAAUGUGAAUUGCAGAAUUCAGUGAAUCAUCGAAUCUUUGAACGCACCUUGCGCUCUCUGGUAUUCCGGAGAGCAUGCCUGUUUGAGUGUCAUGAACUCUUCAACCCACUGGUUCCUUGUUGGACUGUCGUGGUGUUUGGAUUUUGAGCGUUGCUGACUAGUGCAUUAUUUUGGACCAAGUGUAGCUCGUUCGUAAUACAUUAGCAUCUCAAUUGCGAAACUCGGAUCGACUCAGCGUGAUAGACUAUUCGCUGAGGACACUUGUAAAAAAGUGGCCGAAUUAGCUGACUUAGAAGCUUCUAAUCCCCCAUUAGUCAAAACUAUAAGAUUAGACCUCAGAUCAGGCAGGAUUACCCGCUGAACUUAAGCAUAUCAAUAAGCGGAGGCU
rnacentral:misc_RNA from 1 species